rnacentral:pre_miRNA from 1 species
AGUAGGAUAACUGGGUCAAAUGGUGGUUCCAUUCCUGAUUUUUUGAGGAAUCUCCAUACUGCUUUCCAGAGUGGUUGCCCCAAUUUGCAAUCCCACUAGCAAU